GAUUAUGGCUCAGGACGAACGCUGGCGGCAUGCCUAACACAUGCAAGUCGAACGGAGUAAUGACUUCGGUUAUACUUAGUGGCGAACGGGUGAGUAACACGUGAAUAAUCUGCCCUGUACGAUGGGAUAACAGCUGGAAACGGCUGCUAAUACCGUAUAUGACCACGCCGAGGCAUCUCGGAGGGGUGAAAGCGCUUAAGCGGUACAGGAUGAGUUCGCGUCCAAUUAGCUAGUUGGUGAGGUAACGGCCCACCAAGGCGACGAUUGGUAGCCGACCUGAGAGGGUGAUCGGCCACACUGGAACUGAGACACGGUCCAGACUCCUACGGGAGGCAGCAGUGGGGAAUAUUGGGCAAUGGAGGAAACUCUUUAACCCCCAGCAAUGCCGCGUGAGUGAUGAAGGUCUUCGGAUUGUAAAGCUCUUUGAUUGGGGACGAAUAAAUGACGGUACCCAAGGAACAAGCCCCGGCUAACUAUGUGCCAGCCGCAGC
rnacentral:rRNA from 1 species